UGUCCUCGUUUAGCUAGUGUAGGUCCCUAACUUGUUUUUCAGUCCUCGUUUAGCUAGUGUAGGUCUCUAACUUGUUUUUCAGUCCUCGUUUAGCUAGUGUAGGUCUCUGACUUGUCCCUCUGUCCUCGUUUAGCUAGUGUAGGUCUCUAACUUGUUUUUCAGUCCUCGUUUAGCUAGUUUAGGUCUCUAACUUGUUUUUCAGUCCCCGUUUAGCUAGUGUAGGUCUCUGACUUGUCCCUCUGUCCUUGUUUAACUAGUGUAGGUCUCUAACGUGUUUUUCAGUCCUCGUUUAGCUAGUGUAGGUCUCUGACUUGUCCCUCUGCCCUCGUUUAGCUAGUGUAGGUCCCUAACUUGUUUUUCAGUCAUCGUUUAGCUAGUGUAGGUCUCUGACUUGUCCCUCUGCCCUCGUUUAGCUAGUGUAGGUCUCUAACUUGUUUUUCAGUCCUCAUUUAGCUAGUGUAGGUCUCUAACUUGUUUUUCAGUCCUCGUUUAGCUGGUUUAGGUCUCUAAGUUGUUUUUCAGUCCUCGUUUAUCUAGUGUAGGUCUCUAACUUGUUUUUCAGUCCUCAUUUAGCUAGUGUCUGUCUCUAACUUGUUUUUCAGUCCUCAUUUAGCUAGUGUAGGUCUCUGACUUGUCCCUCUGUCCUCGUUUAACUAGUGUAGGUCUCUAAGUUGUUUUUCAGUCCUCAUUUAACUAGUGUAGGUCUCUAAAUUGUUUUUCGGUCCUUGUUUAGCUCGUGUCGGUCUCUAACUUGCUUUUCAGUCCUUGUUUAGCUAGUGUAUGUCUCUGACUUGUCCCUCUGUCCUCGUUUAGCUAGUGUAGGUCUCUGACUUGUUCCUCUGUCCUCAUUUAGCUA